GGUAGUAGCUCAGUUGGUAGAGCAUCAGCUUCCCAAGCUGAGGGUCGCGGGUUCGAGCCCCGUUUAC
rnacentral:tRNA from 1 species